GCGGGUAUAGUUCAGUGGUAGAACGUCAGCUUCCCAAGCUGAAUAUGAGGGUUCGAUUCCCUUUACCCGCUCCA
rnacentral:tRNA from 1 species